AACUCGUUAGGCCCUAAUCUCCUCUUCUCCAUCUCUUCUCUGAUCAAAACCCCAAACCGUCUUCGCCGACGAUCCCCAUCUCCUAAUUACCGCUGGCGAACCAUGGGCCAUCCUCAACCACCAACAGCUGGCAUGAGACCACCGUCCCAACCACCAGUGUGCCAGUGUUAGAUGGUUUUUUCUAGAUGGGAGAUCGGUGGGAUGGGAUUCAAAAACUGGUGAUCCUGCCUUCUUCUUCCCUACAAGCGGCCAUCCAAAUGCUUCAAUCGUUGGACCAUCGACUUACCAACCAUCCAUUUUCACUAGCGAUAAGGAGGGUCAAUCGUCGGUUUACCAAGAUCCGGUGGUUCGAACUUCAUGCCUUUCAUCCCCAAAAGAAAACCGAUCGGCGACCAUCGAAAAAUCCC
rnacentral:lncRNA from 1 species